rnacentral:lncRNA from 1 species
CUGCCUGUUGACCGGGACGCUGGAAACUGCCUCGUCAAAGGAUCGACGUGCGCACUGCUUCAAACCUCCGUUCCUCUUCGAGAUCCACCUCAAGAACCUGCAAAGAAACAGAGCGGCGCCGCUGCGGCCGAUCGCACUCCAACGCCCAAGUCAGUGACCGAAUCACCAAAUACUAAGAGAACAAGAACCGUGCAAAUCCUCUCUCACAGUAAGCUCUAUAACUCGCAAGCGUAAAG